GGGUGUACUAAGUGCACGAAGAAGGCCGAUGUUAAAAUUGGUCAUUUUACUUGCAAGUGUGGCACAUAUAAUCAUAACUCUACUCCAAGGUAACACUAUUUCUUAUUAUCAAUAUUUUCAUAUUGAACUUAUCAGCAACUCUGUUAUAAUGAUUUACUUUUUUCUUUAUUAGAUACAAAUUGGACAUAAAGGUUAAUCACCAACAUGGUAGUGGAAGGUUUGUGUUUUGGGAUCGUCAAUGUGUUAACAUCAUUGGCAUAUCUGCAUCUGACCUCAAAAGUAAAAUGCUGGCAGUAAGUAACUUUUUAAUGUCUCCAUUUAACAUGCAAUUAAUUCAUUGUAUAUAAAGAAAGUCUAUAUAUAUAUAUAUAUAUAUUUAUAUAGGAAGGUGAGGAUGAUCCCAAGGCAUUCCCUUUAAUCCUUGAUGAAUUGCUGGCAAGGACUAUGGCGUUAAGGGUUAAAGUACAACCAUCAUACAAUCAGUUAUCUGUUAUAAGAUUAUCUGAGGAUCCAAAUCUGAUCAAAAAAGUACUUGAUCAGAUUGGAGUAUUUGAGGUAUUUUAUCGAAACCUAAUGUUAUUACUAAUUAUUGAAUUGAGGAUUUGUUGUCUGAUUCACUAAUUAACUUAUCUACUACAUCCAGCCAACAACUUCUAAUGAAUUGAAAGAGAAUUUUGUUGCCAAUGAAUUCCUUCAAUU
rnacentral:lncRNA from 1 species